rnacentral:rRNA from 1 species
UACGUAGGGUCCAAGCGUUGUCCGGAUUUAUUGGGCGUAAAGAGCUCGUAGGCGGCUCAGUAAGUCGGAUGUGAAAACUCGAGGCUUAACCUCGAGCUGUCGGCGGAAACCAUCUGGCUAGAGUCCGGAAGAGGAGAAUGGAAUUCCCGGUGUAGCGGUGAAAUGCGCAGAUAUCGGGAAGAACACCCGUGGCGAAGGCGGUUCUCUGGGACGGUACUGACGCUGAGACGCGAAAGCGUGGGGAGCGAACAGG